GGAGCAAAGAGGAGAUACAAACAUGCACGUCUGAGCCUAAACCUAAAGUGUGAAAGCCCAGCCCCGGCUGACAUGGAUCAAAAGGCAGGAAAAGGGCAGGGGAGUCAUUAUCACCAUGGAGAGGAACUUUCAGUUGGGUCAGAGGCUCCAGAUGUGGUUACACUAUGAAGAGGCGCUGGGGAACAAACUAAAUUGCGAGAGGAGUCCGGGAAAGGGUACGGGGUGCCUGGAAACCUGAGGUGAAGACAAUCACAGCCAUAAAAAACAACAAAGGCAAAGUUAAACUAGAACGUUGGCGUUUUGGGCAGGUGGCCCUUUGGACGCUUUCCAUGCACGCAGCACGAUGGAAAUCACAGCUUCUAAUUGGACCAGAUGGUGUGGAGAAAGCAGCCAAUUACGGUCGAUUCCCUACCCACACGGCGAAACGCGACGUCCACAUCCGUCCGCGAGUGUCCACCCACACCAUCGUGCAUAUGAAUUCACAGAGCCUUGAUCUGUACAACACCACAGUGGGGCAAGGUAACAUAUGGCAACUCUCACACAGAAAAACACGCACAUACUACGAACGUGAAGUAAUCUUGAUCACAGGAGACGGUCACCCACGCAAUCACGAUUUGGUUCUAUGCCACAGAAAUCUUUGAAGCAUUUCAGCACCCUGGAGAGCGCCAAGACUCUGGCUUCAGUCAAAGGGGGCGAGAUGUUGAUUUCAGCACCACGGACAGAUCUUACACUAAGACCCAGAACUGAGGGGCAUUAACGGAGUCGUUUGAAACGACAUUGUUUUCACGGUUCUCAAUUUUAUGACUUUUCAAUGUCUUAAAGACAGGCUUUGAAUCACCCAAAAAACGGUGACGUCAAACAGAAAAAUAAAAUGAAGGGGAGAAAAGGAGAAUUUCACAUUAAUUGGGAGCUUUCUACGAAUGGGAAAAGAUUUUAAAUGACCUGUACAACCUGUACAAAAAAGCAAUAGUUCCCGCUAAAAUGAAAAUGAUCAUUUAUUCACCCUCAUGUAAUUUAAACCUAUGUUCUGUGGAACAUAAAAGGAACUGAAUAUUCAGGGUAUUUAUUUUUAUAAUGUGAACUGGGUAUGUCGAAUUCUAAAAUGCACAAAAAAACACCAUAAAAUUUUUCCAAUGGUUAAACACUUGAGUCCAACAGAAUAAGAGUCAUACACGUUUUGAAGGAUUUAUAUCAAAAUAGAAUAACUUAUAUAGCCAACUGAAAAUCCACAUGGGUUCAUUCAAGCAUCUCUGGAUCUUCAGCUUUCUAUAUAACACUUUCAAUAAAAAAGACCUUUAGCCUCUACUGAUCAGAAUGCCUGAGAUCUACAAAGUUCUUAUUAAACAGAAAAAGACUGUAAAGGUGUCGGAAUGGAGUUAUCAGUUACUAGCUUACAAUAAGGUUUGUUUAUGACAAGCUCAGCAACCGACAAACCAUAUAAAAACACAAUCAAAUGCAACACUGUGGCAGAAAACCCUUGAAAACUGUGUGCUGAACAUGCGUGCGGCAUGCGUAAACCAUGAACCACAGACACACGGCCCCGCCUUUGUAUUUCGAGGACGACUGCGAUAAAACUAGAUAACGGUAGAUGACAUGCCUCUUUGUUGGGUUUGCUGAAUUUAUAAAAAUGAAAUUAAGAUUCAUUGUGCUUUUUUCUAGGGACUAAACAUUAGCGCCCUUGUAAUUAAUGGCACAUGCAUUGCCUGCGGGCUGAGGGGACAUUGCGGUACGCUGUCAUGAAAUUACCUCUCAACAUGGGUGCGGUGAAAGUUAAUGAGAGACAUGUAAAGGCUUCGAGCAAUGGAAGAUGAUUGAUCGGCUAACUGUGCAGGAAGUGAGGUCACAGGAAAUGGAGAACACGAUUGUGUAGCUGUAUAGAUGAGAGACAACAAGUAAGCCAAUCAACUCAUCAACAUGUGCUAAUUGUGGUGGCCGGAGGAAGUGAGGUCACAGGAAGUCGUAACCACAGAACAUUUUAUGGCUUCUAAAGCCCAGAACAAAGAUAAUUAGAGGGGUGAAGGCAAAAUAUAAGAGCACACACACACGCUUUCAGAAUGCCUGGAGAUUAGUUGGGACUAUGUGGCUGGUCUUAGACUGCUCACUAAUUGCUAUGAGUCAGCCUGCGCUGGGGCUGGACCUUACGCCCACACACACACACGUUCACGAACGCUCAGUAAGCACGCAGGCAGCCAAACACACACACACGGGGAUCAGCCUGCCACUGCGUGCCUUCCAUAGUGAACAGAGAACCUCUUAGUAUGCAGUGUGCGAAGGCAAGAGCUUGUGCGGUCAGAUCAGGCUAGAGUUUGCAUUCAUUAAUUAAAUUGUCGACACUGAUGGGGAUGUUGACACCCUAUGAGUGAGUGAGUGUGUGUAGGUGUGUGUGUGUGUGACACUACUGUCAAAACAUAAGCCCUCAAGUAUACAAAAGGUUUUGCUAUGACAACUAAAUUACAACCAGACACUAGGGAUGUAACGAUUCACCUUGAGCCGGUUGAAAAUCGAUUAUAAUAUGUAACGAUUCGUCGGUUGAGACGUUAUAAAAAUCGCAGUACAUGUUUUGAACAGCAGGGGCCGCUGUUUUUCUACAAACUUAACGUGGAUAUGCUGAUAUUUCUUAUAAAAGUAAAAGUUAGGAAAAGCACAGACAAAGUCUUCGUUUGUUUAUAUUAAAGAGACUUUUGUAUUAUUCAUUUUUUAUUUGAUUUGGAAUUUGUUUUAAAACUGCAAUUUAAGUUUUGUUAUUUGACCCAAAAAAAUGUUUUUACAAAGAAUUGUGCAGCAUUAGAGAAAUAAUAAAAGGGCAGUUUUUCAUUUUAAAUUUUCCUCAACUCAUUCUGUAAAAAAUCGUGAUUAAAUCGCAUCGUGAGAUUAGAAUCGCAUCGCAUCGUGAGCUGAGGGAAUCGUUACAUCCCUACCAGACACAUUUGUUUUCAAAUCUGCAUUUCUAGAUGUGUUGUGGCCAUUCCAGUGGCCGUUCCUCAGGAGUGACAUAAAUUCAUCCAACAGCAAUGUGAAAGACUGACAGCAUGACAAGUCACAUGAAAACUGUGAUUAAAAAUCCAGGUUAUCACAUAAAACGUUUUUUUUUUUUACUUUUCCUAAAUAUAUAUAGAAAUAUUACUGUUGUAUUGCUUAAAAAUGAU